UACGUAGGGUGCGAGCGUUGUCCGGAAUUAUUGGGCGUAAAGAGCUCGUAGGCGGUCUGUCGCGUCGGAUGUGAAAAUCCAGGGCUCAACCCUGGACCUGCAUUCGAUACGGGCAGACUAGAGUUCGGUAGGGGAGACUGGAAUUCCUGGUGUAGCGGUGGAAUGCGCAGAUAUCAGGAGGAACACCGAUGGCGAAGGCAGGUCUCUGGGCCAUUACUGACACUGAGAAGCGAAAGCAUGGGGAGCGAACAGG
rnacentral:rRNA from 1 species